rnacentral:sRNA from 1 species
UGAGCUAAUUAUUUGCAUUAUUAAUUGUAGGGAAAAUUUUGGAAAUACAAUUUGAAACAUUUGGAGGACAAUAAAAAAAUAAAGUGUUGAUUUUAUUGCAACAUGCAAAGGAGGAUUUCCGGAAGCAAACUUGAGGUGUGGAAAGCAUCUGGGAGGUGCACAUUGAAUUCCAUUCACGGUCCUGCACACGUGGAGAAGCACCAACAUCCAGCCUUCACACAUCAGCACACGCGGCCCACAUCCAGAUUGAGA